GUACUCACCUGGAAGGUGAAAUACCGUGAUCACAAACGUGGAUUUCCCAGGGCAGUGCUUAUCCAUUGUGCUCUAGAUAUGCUGACCCCUGCAGUUUCCCCAAAUGUGGAAAACUUGCCUGCAUAAUUUGUGGUAAUGGGGCACUGUGUUCAUGCUCCUCUC